UACAGAGGGUGCGAGCGUUGUCCGGAAUCACUGGGCGUAAAGGGCGCGUAGGUGGCGACCCAAGUCGAUGGUGAAAGCUCGCCGCUCAACGGCGAGUCGGCCACCGAUACUGGGUUGCUGGAGCACUGUAGAGGCUCAUGGAAUUCCGGGUGUAGCGGUGGAAUGCGUAGAGAUCAGAAGGAACAUCCGUGGGCGAAGGCGGCAUCCCUGGGCCAACACUGACAC
rnacentral:rRNA from 1 species